AGUGAACGCCGGCGGCAGGCCUAACACAUGCAAGUCGAGCGGCAGCGGGUCCCCGCGAGGGGAUGCCGGCGAGCGGCGGACGGGUGAGGAACACAUCGGAAUCUGCCUGGUUGUGGGGGAUAACGUAGGGAAACUUACGCUAAUACCGCAUGAGACCCUGAGUCGACGGACUGGGGGUGAAAGUGAGGGACCUUCGGGCCUCACGCGACCAGAUGAGCCGAUGUCGGAUUAGCAGUUGGCGGGGUAACGGCCCGCCAAGGCGACGAUCCGUAGCUGGUCUGAGAGGAUGAUCAGCCACACUGGGACUGAGACACGGCCCAGACUCCUACGGGA
rnacentral:rRNA from 1 species